UACGUAGGGUGCAAGCGUUGUCCGGAAUUAUUGGGCGUAAAGAGCUCGUAGGCGGUUUGUCGCGUCGAAUGUGAAAACCCGGGGCUCAACUCCGGGCCUGCAUUCGAUACGGGCAGACUAGAGUUCGGUAGGGGAGACUGGAAUUCCUGGUGUAGCGGUGAAAUGCGCAGAUAUCAGGAGGAACACCAAUGGCGAAGGCAGCUCGCUGGGACGGUACUGACGCUGAGGCGCGAAAGCGUGGGGAGCAAACAGG
rnacentral:rRNA from 1 species